ensembl:rRNA 5S_rRNA 5S ribosomal RNA
GUUUAUGACGAUAUUACCUUGAACACACCCAAUCUCAUCUGAUCUCUGGAGUUAAGCAGGGUAAGACCUGGUUAGUACUUGGAUAUGAAGCCUGUUAUAUCCA